rnacentral:rRNA from 1 species
UAUAAGAUGGGCAUGCGUGUCAUUAGUUUGUUGGUGAGGUAACGGCUCACCAAGACUACGAUGACUAGGGGGUCUGAGAGGAUGAUCCCCCACACUGGUACUGAGACACGGACCAGACUCCUACGGGAGGCAGCAGUAAGGAAUAUUGGGCAAUGGAGGCAACUCUGAACCAGCCAUCCCGCGUGCAGGAUGACGGCCCUAUGGGUUGUAAACUGCUUUUGUACCUGAAGAAUAGGCCCAACGAGUUGGGAUUUGCCGGUAAGGUAUGAAUAAGCAUCGGCUAACUCCGUGCCAGCAGCCGCGGUAAUACGGAGGAUGCGAGCGUUAUCCGGAUUCAUUGGGUUUAAAGGGUGCGCAGGUGGGAAAAUAAGUCAGUGGUGAAAUACUGCCGCUUAACGGUAGAAUUGCCAUUGAUACUGUUUUUCUUGAGUAUGGUUGAGGUAGGUGGAAUGUGUUGUGUAGCGGUGAAAUGCAUAGAUAUGACACAGAACGCCGAUUGCGAAGGCAGCUUACUAAGCCAUUACUGACGCUGAGGCACGAAAGCGUGGGGAUCGAACAGGAUUAGAUACCCUGGUAGUCCACGCCGUAAACGAUGAUCACUCGCUGUUUGCGAUAUACAGCAAGCGGCUGAGCGAAAGCAUUAAGUGAUCCACCUGGGGAGUACGAUCGCAAGAAUGAAACUCAAAGGAAUUGACGGGGGCCCGCACAAGCGGAGGAACAUGUGGUUUAAUUCGAUGAUACGCGAGGAACCUUACCUGGGCUUAAAUGUAGAGCGACAGAUUGUGAAAGCAGUCCUCCCUUCGGGGCUGCUUACAAGGUGCUGCAUGGUUGUCGUCAGCUCGUGCCGUGAGGUGUCGGGUUAAGUCCCAUAACGAGCGCAACCCCUACUGCUAGUUGCCAGCGCGUAAAGCCGGGGACUCUAGCGAGACUGCCACCGUAAGGUGAGAGGAAGGUGGGGAUGACGUCAAAUCAGCACGGCCCUUAUGUCCAGGGCUACACACGUGUUACAAUGGCCGAUACAAAGGGCAGCCACCCCGCGAGGGGGCGCUAAUCUCCAAAGCCGGUCCCAGUUCGGAUCGGAGUCUGCAACCCGACUCCGUGAAGUUGGAUUCGCUAGUAAUCGUGCAUCAGCAACGGCACGGUGAAUACGUUCCCGGGCCUUGUACACACCGCCCGUCAAGCCAUGGAAGCUGGGGG